rnacentral:rRNA from 1 species
GACGAACGCUGGCGGCGUGCCUAAUACAUGCAAGUAGGACGCACAGUUUAUACCGUAGCUUGCUACACCAUAGACUGUGAGUUGCGAACGGGUGAGUAACGCGUAGGUAACCUGCCUAUUAGAGGGGGAUAACUAUUGGAAACGAUAGCUAAUACCGCAUAACAGUAUGUAACACAUGUUAGAUGCUUGAAAGAUGCAAUUGCAUCGCUAGUAGAUGGACCUGCGUUGUAUUAGCUAGUAGGUAGGGUAAUGGCCUACCUAGGCGACGAUACAUAGCCGACCUGAGAGGGUGAUCGGCCACACUGGGACUGAGACACGGCCCAGACUCCUACGGGAGGCAGCAGUAGGGAAUCUUCGGCAAUGGGGGGAACCCUGACCGAGCAACGCCGCGUGAGUGAAGAAGGUUUUCGGAUCGUAAAGCUCUGUUGUUAAGGAAGAACGAGUGUGAGAAUGGAAAGUUCAUACUGUGACGGUACUAAACCAGAAAAGGACGGC